ACUUGUCUAGCUCAGUUGGUAAAAUACAACGCUCUUAAACUUUUGGUCGUGGGUUCGAGCCCCACGGUGUGUG
rnacentral:tRNA from 7 species